GCAAUACUAGACCGGCAAACGGGUGCGUAACACGUACACAACUUUCCGCCAAGAGGGGGAUAGCCCGGGGAAACCCGGAUUAAUACCCCGUAAUAUAUAGGGGUGGCAUCAUCUUUAUAUUAUAGCCCCGGCGCUUGGUGAUGGGUGUGCGGCUGAUUAGGUAGUUGGCGGGGUAACGGCCCACCAAGCCUACGAUCAGUAGCUGAUGUGAGAGCAUGAUCAGCCACACGGGCACUGAGACACGGGCCCGACUCCUACGGGAGGCAGCAGUAAGGAAUAUUGGUCAAUGGGCGCAAGCCUGAACCAGCCAUGCCGCGUGGAGGAUGAAGGCCCUCUGGGUUGUAAACUUCUUUUAUUUGGGACGAGAAACGGAAAUUCUUUUCCACUUGACGGUACCAGAUGAAUAAGCACCGGCUAACUCCGUGCCAGCAGCCGCGGUAAUACGGAGGGUGCAAGCGUUAUCCGGAUUCACUGGGUUUAAAGGGUGCGUAGGCGGGCUGUUAAGUCAGUGGUGAAAUCUUUGGGCUUAACCCGGAAACUGCCAUUGAUACUAUCAGUCUUGAAUAUUGUGGAGGCCUGCGGAAUAUGUCAUGUAGCGGUGAAAUGCUUAGAUAUGACAUAGAACACCAAUUGCGAAGGCAGCAGGCUACGCAUAUAUUGACGCUGAGGCACGAAAGCGUGGGGAUCAAACAGGAUUAGAUACCCUGGUAGUCCACGCCCUAAACGAUGGAUACUCGACAUACGCGAUACACAGUGUGUGUCUGAGCGAAAGCAUUA
rnacentral:rRNA from 1 species